UCUCUGUUGCGCGGGAAAAAAAAGAGAGAAAAUCGUAUAAAACACCACACCUAAAAGCUAGGGUUUUCUUCUUCUCUGCAGCAAAUCAGAAUCCACCACAGUUGUUUGGUCUCUCUCUAUCUGUCUUUACUAACCAAAGAAAAAAAUCUGUGACUUCAUGGGUUUCAUGAUGACCAAACUAUGAAAUCUAGAUAAGGGUCUCCCCUCAGUUGUUUCACAGGCCAAACUAGGGUUAUGUCAGCUGGCAAAGGGAGACUGAAUGGUACUCAAAACUAUGUUCCUUUGUAAUUCAUCCUUAAUAAUCUCAAAGAUGCUAGUUAAUAUCAAAAGCCCUUCUGCUAUUUUCUCGUCUAUUACUAAAAGUCACAAUCAUUGCUCUUAUUAUUACUUUUUCUCUAGCUCUUCUUCUUCUAAGAACAAGAACUGGAGCCUUAUACACCAAAUUGUUAAAGCCUUUCACAACCAACAAAACCCUAAACCCUUAAACCCUAUUCUUCUCUCUAAAUUACAACUCUACCAUGUACCUGACGUUAUUAUAUCCCUUCAGCCUAAGCCCUUUUCGGCUAUUAGAUUCUUUGAGUGGGCUGAGAGCUUUUUCAUUUCACCACUCUCUGCACCAUCAUUCUGUGCCCUCCUCCAUGUCUUGCUUCAAAACCAAUUAUUUAGUCGUGCUGCUUGUGUUUUCGAUAAGUUUAUCAUGCAAUUUGGAAAUGAUUAUGACACUUUGGAUGCCUUUCGUGAUGGUUUUUGUGAUUUGGAUUCGACAAAUCAUAGUGUUGUUUAUGGGUUUUUGAUUGAGAGUUACUGUCGAAAAGGGAUGUUUGAUAAAUCUGUUGAUAUAUUCAUGCAUGUUUGUGUAAAGGGUAUUUUUGUUUCACCAAAUGUGGUGUACUUGUUGUUGGGUUCUUUGGUUGAUUCACAUUGUGUUGAUGUAAUUGUGGAUAAGUAUGGUGAGCUGUGUUCAGCUAUGAGAGAACAGCCUUUUAGUGUUUAUGAAUUUGUAAUGAAUAGGUUUAUGAACAAGGGUGAGGUUGAAAUGGGUUUGAGAUUCCAUAAAGCUUUGAUUCAAGGAGGUUUUGGUCUGGAUAUCAUUACUUGCAAUAAGAUUUUAAAAGGUAUUUGGAUGCAAAAUGAUAUAGGAGUUGCAGAUGAUUAUUUUAAUAUGGUAGUGAGGAUUGGCCCAAAACCAAAUGUUGUCACAUUUAGCACAUUGAUUGAUGCAUAUUGCAAAGAGGGAAAUUUGGAUAAAGCAUUUGUGCUUUUUGAUGUUAUGGCAGGGAAUGGUGUGGCACCUGACUUAAUUGUCUACAGCAUUCUUAUUGAUGGCCUGUUUAAGGCAGGGAGGCUGGAAGAUGGACAAAGGCUCUUGUUGGUAGCAUUAGAUAAGGGUAUCAAGUUUGAUGUUGUUGGUUUCAGCUCAGCCAUGGAUGCAUAUGUGAAAAUUGGGGAUUUAGGGAGGGUAAUUCAGAUAUAUAAGAGAAUGUUGAAUGAAGGGAUUUCACCUAAUGUGGUCAGCUGCAGCAUUCUUAUAAAGGGGUUCUGUCAGAAUGGUAGGAUCUUAGAGGCUUGUGGACUGUUUGUUCAGAUUCUGAAACUUGGUUUUGAGCCAUCUAUUUUAACUUACAGCGCUCUCAUUGCUGGAUUUUGCAAAUCAGGAAAUCUAAGGGAUGGGUUUUACUUAUAUGAGGAUAUGAUAAAGAAGAGGUGUGAACCUGAUACCAUUGUUUACAGUGUUCUGAUAAAUGGUCUAUGCAAACAAGGGUUGCUGGGUGAUGCACUAAGAUUCUUCUGUCAAGCUGUGAAUAGGGGUUUAAGUCCCAAUGUUUUUACUUUGAACACCUUGCUAGACAGCUUCUGUAGAUUGAAAUGCAUAGUUGGUGCUAUGAAGGUGUACUAUCUAAUGGGAAUGUUAAAUAUAAAAGCAGACACAGUGACCUACACCAUCCUUAUUAAAGGCGCUGCUCAAUUUGGUAAAGUUGAUGAGGCACUGAUGUUAUUCUUCCAAAUGCUCAAGAAGGAUUUCAAACCAGAUGUUAUUACAUAUUGCACUCUGAUUGAUGGACUUUGUAAGCUGAAAAAAUCAUCUGCAGGAUUAUGUAUUUUUGAUUUCAUGUGCAAGAAUGCUGUGGCCCCUGAUAUUGCAAUUUAUAAUGUUCUCAUUAAUAUGCAUUCUAGGGAAGGCCAUUUGGAGGCUGCACUUGGACUCUUUGUCCAUGUUGUUGAGAGAGGGCCAAAACCUGAUGUUUUUACUUUCAACACAAUGAUUUGCUGUUACUGCAAUUUCAAAAGGUUAGAUGAUGCAGUUCAGCUUUUUGCGAAGAUGACAAGUGAACAGCUCAGACCCAAUGCCAUUACUUUUACCAUACUGAUUGAUGCAUUUUGUAGAGAAGGUAGAAUGGAUGAUGCCAUGUUGAUGUUUUCCAAAAUGCUGGAAGAGGGUCCCGAACCCAAUUUGGUGACAUAUAAUUGUUUGAUUCAUGGUUAUUUCAAAUCUCAAAGUAUGAUGGAAAGUGGCUUAAAGCUGUAUAAUGAGAUGCUUGAAAACAAUAUUGCUCCAAAUAUUGUCAGUUACAGCAUUCUCAUUGAUGGUCUAUGUAAAAGAGGUCUAAUGAAGGAAGCGUCUUGUGCUUUUCGUUGUGCACUAGACAAACAUUUAUUGCCUGAUGUGAUAGCUUAUACGAUUCUGAUCCGUGGAUAUUGCAAGGUUGGGAGAUUAACUGAAGCCAUGAUGUUGUAUGACAAUAUGUUGUUGAAUAGACUCACUCCAGACCGCUUCCUGGAAAGAACACUUGAGGAGUAUCAACUUAAAAAAGCUGGAGCAAAACAUGUGUGUGCUUGAGGAGGAUGCAUGGAGACCUUUCUAUCAUCAUCCUGCAAUUAGGCAUCAUCAUGGUCAGCUUAAUGAUUGUAGGGGUGUUGAUCCAUGGAGACACGAUUGCUUUCUACUCCUACAGAUGGCAGAGGCAAAGAAUGGAAUUGGACACGUUCGACAUGCAAUUACUCCAAAAAUGGGGGUGAGGAUCUUGCAAAGAAAGGGCUCUCUCUCCAACAUGUCUUUCAUCAAUAGGGAGUAUUUGUGGACAGACUGAACAGAUAAAACUUGGAAGAGCUCUAGAGAUGGAAUGGAUAGUUUUGGAUGAAAAAGAACGUUUCUCUGGAAGAUGAGAGAAUUCUGUCAGAAAAGGAAAGGGGUAACAAGUCAACAUCUGCCAAAGUUACUCAUUAAGACCCGGAUUAAAUUCUUACCCUUUUUGUGCAAGAAACAAGAACAUUUUUUCAGGAAUACCCAGCAAGAAUCAUUCUGAUCCUAUCUCUGUUCAUCUGAAGAAAGGAAGGAUCCCAAAUGUGACAUGCUAUUACAUCUUAUAAACUCUCAUUUAGACCUGGGAAGAAAGGGCCAAGGAUACCCAAAGAGUUUAAACUUCAAGUGUGGAGGCAGUUAUGCUGAGGUUGUUAUCGAUCUUGCUUGUACAUGUUCAACAUGUUAUAUCAAUGAAAUGAAAGUUUUGCUCCAAGUUUUCUUCCUGUUUGUGAAAGGUGGUACGUGUUUCCUGCAGGUAUGAUCUGUUGUUCCAAGGCAACUAUUUUUCCUUGUCAUUGACUGUUCCUUCUAAGUUUCAGAAAAGUAGAUUCUGUCUUGUAAUUUCAAGAAGGUUGUUGCAUGUGCUAUUUCUCAAACCCAAGUGGAAGGUCAAGAAACACUGCCAUGUUACAAGAGAUGACACAGACAGCAACAAACAGGAUGAUGCUAUUAACGGGAUGAUGCUAGCAAACAGGCUGUUUAAUUUUACUUUCAGCAGAGCAGAACUAGGGCUUCAUGCUACUAACAUAUCUAUUAGGAGAGCUAACAAACAUAUAGAGACAGAGAGCAGAGAGGAGAAAGCAGCAAUAACAGGCAGUUCCUGGUCAAGGUAUGGAUCAUCCUCUGCAUUCGUCAGCAUCAAUUCCUACAUCUGGGCCAGGGUCUUCUUCUGCAGGGGUGUAUGAAUUCACGGCCUACCUCCUCCUUGUUGUACCCUUGUAGACCGCCCUCCAUGGUUCCUCUCUAGCCAUAACGAUCACGAACGUCAAGAAUAAUAGUAGAGUAUUAGUUUCCAAGUUGACAAUGAAGAGGUGAUUAUUCACAAGCAUGCAAACCAGCAGAGAUAAACAUAAAAGCUGGGUGGAGAAAGGGUUACGUUCAGCUAGGAAUUCCUGAGCUUCAAGGCUCUUACCACCUCUCCUUCCUUUGCCUUGGCAUCAAGUUCUGAUCUUACUUGCUGUGUGGUCAUCCCAAGUUUCAUAAAGUAGUAUAAAAUCUGGGUAUCAUCCCCUUGCCUCUGAUGUUGCCGAAUCAUCUUGGUUUCAUUCUUUGCGUAGUGACUUAUCUAUUGCACCUCGUCUACCCUGAUAAUAUUUCCACCACCUAUCUUGUAGUCAAUCCUAUUAAUCAUGCUAGGACUAAGCAUUUAAAGGUUGCUUUGCAUUUUGUUCAUGAUCAAGUUGCGUCGAGAGAUAUCGAAGUCAAGUUUGUUUCCAGUAGAGAUCAUGUGGCCGAUAUUCUCACCAAUAUUUUCACCAAAGGGCUCUCUUCUGCUCCAUUUGCUUUGCCAAUUUGAGCUUUCUCGCAUCUCCAGCUCAAAUUGGGGAAGGGUGGGUAACAGACAAUAGUGAUUUGAUAUCCCUAAUAUCAUGCUAUCUAUAUAUGAUGGUCUUAUAUUUUAGGACAUACAAUGUAUUGUAAUUAAGACAAGAUUAUAUAUUAAUUGUAUAAUGAGAAUAUAUAUACAAAUCACAUUGAGAUUAUCGUCCUAAA